rnacentral:rRNA from 1 species
GCAGCCACUCAUUCAAAGAGUGCGUAAUAGCUCACUGGUCGAGUGAUCCUGCGCCGAAGAUUUCCGGGGCUAAAACUUACUACCGAAGCUACGGCAUCAGUAAUGAUGGGUCGGGGAGCUUCCCAUACGGGUUGAAGCAUGACCGUAAGGACAUGUGGACAGUAUGGGAGUGAGAAUGUUGGCAUGAGUAGCGAGAUGUGGGUGAGAAUCCCACAGGCCGUAAACCCAAGGUUUCCAGGGGAAGGUUCGUCCGCCCUGGGUUAGUCGGGACCUAAGCUGAGGCCGAAAGGCGUAGGUGAUGGACAACAGGUUGAUAUUCCUGUACUACCGAUAACCGUUUGAGAGAUGGGAUGACACAGUAGGAUAAGCUAAGCACACUGUUGGUUAUGUGUGCCCAAGCAUUGAGGCAGUCAAAGUAGGCAAAUCCGCUUUGAUAAUGCUGGGAUGUGAUGGGGAGCGAAAUUUAGUAGCGAAGUAGCUGAUUUCACACUGUCAAGAAAAGUCUCUAUCGAGGUUAAAGGUACCCGUACCGCAAACCGACACAGGUGGGUGAGGAGAGUAUCCUAAGGCCAGCGAGAGAACUGUUGUUAAGGAACUCGGCAAAAUGACCCCGUAACUUAGGGAUAAGGGGUGCCACCAUCAGGUGGCCGCAGAGAAUAGGCCCAAGCGACUGUUUACCAAAAACAUAGGUUUCUGCUAAGUCGCAAGACGAUGUAUAGGAGCUGACGCCUGCCCGGUGCUGGAAGGUUAAGGGGAUCUGUUAGAGCAAUCGAAGCAGUGAACUUAAGCCCCAGUAAACGGCGGCCGUAACUAUAACGGUCCUAAGGUAGCGAAAUUCCUUGUCGGGUAAGUUCCGACCCGCACGAAAGGCGUAACGAUUUGGGCACUGUCUCAACAACAGACUCGGUGAAAUUGUAAUUCCGGUGAAGAUGCCGGAUACCUGCGACAGGACGGAAAGACCCCAUGGAGCUUUACUGUAGCUUGACAUUGGGUCUUGGUACUACAUGUACAGGAUAGGUGGGAGGCUUUGAAACCAGGACGCCAGUUUUGGCGGAGCCAUCCUUGGGAUACCACCCUUGUAGUACUGGGACUCUAACCAUAGGCCAUGAAUCUGGUCUUGGGACACUGUCAGGUGGGCAGUUUGACUGGGGCGGUCGCCUCCCAAAAGGUAACGGAGGCGCUCAAAGGUUCUCUCAGUACGGUCGGAAAUCGUACGUAGAGUGUAAAGGCAAAAGAGAGCUUGAUUGCAAGACAUACAGGUCGAGCAAGGAUGAAAAUCGGACUUAGUGAUCCGGUGGUUCUGCGUGGAAGGGCCAUCGCUCAACGGAUAAAAGCUACCCUGGGGAUAACAGGCUUAUCUCCCCCAAGAGUCCACAUCGACGGGGAGGUUUGGCACCUCGAUGUCGGCUCAUCACAUCCUGGGGCU